AGUGAACGCUGGCGGUAGGCCUAACACAUGCAAGUCGAACGGCAGCACAGUAAGAGCUUGCUCUUACGGGUGGCGAGUGGCGGACGGGUGAGGAAUACAUCGGAAUCUACUUUUUCGUGGGGGAUAACGUAGGGAAACUUACGCCAAUACCGCAUACGACCUACGGGUGAAAGCAGGGGAUCUUCGGACCUUGCGCGAUUGAAUGAGCCGAUGUCGGAUUAGCUAGUUGGCGGGGUAAAGGCCCACCAAGGCGACGAUCCGUAGCUGGUCUGAGAGGAUGAUCAGCCACACUGGAACUGAGACACCGUCCAGACUCCUACGGGAGGCAGCAGUGGGGAAUAUUGGACAAUGGGCGCAAGCCUGAUCCAGCCAUACCGCGUGUGUGAAGAAGGCCUUCGGGUUGUAAAGCCCUUUUGGUGGGAAAGAAAAGCAGCAGGUUAAUACCCCGCUGUUCUGACGGUACCCAAAGAAUAAGCACCGGCUAACUUCGUG
rnacentral:rRNA from 1 species